rnacentral:ncRNA from 1 species
AUAGGGAUACAAACGCUAGCGUUUGAACGUUGGCUCUGCCAACGGCUACGAAGUAGCGAGCAAAGCGAGUAAACCCCACCCCUACAAG